GCUGUGUGUUUCCAAACCCUAAGUGCGCAUUUCAAAACAGAAAUUGUAGCCGCCAUGUGUUUGCAAAAACACAAACAGAGAGAAAAUAAAAACAAAGAAAGAAAGAAAAAUAAAAAAAAAGGAGGAAGAGAUGGAAAGCUUACAAAGAUGAGGUCGUGAGAAGGAGAAGAGACUAAGGAGGAGGGUGCGGCCGCUCCAAAAGGCAUGGUUGUCGUUCCGGCGGCGACAAUGACAAUACGAAGUUACAACAGCUACAAAUGUAUAAGUGAGCAAGGCUUGUGCAUCAAUAUCAAUCAGCAUCAGCAGAGCAAGGCUUGGCAGUAAGCAAGGGCAGCAAUAGAGAACAAAACAGAGGCAAAACAAGCUGGAGCAGUUGACUUAAUUUUUAUUGUAAUUUGAUUUGGCUUUAUUUUUAAAAUUGUAAUUUGAUUUGAUUUUAAAACUGUAAUUUGAUUUCACAUUGUAAAUUGAUGAGACAUGAUGAACAUACUUAUUGUAAUUUGAUUUGGCUUUAAAACUGUAAUUUAAUUUGACAUUGUAAAUUGAUGAAACAUAAUGAGCCUGAUUUUUAGCUA